CCUACGGGUGGCAGCAGUGGGGAAUAUUGGGCAAUGGGCGCAAGCCUGACCCAGCAACGCCGCGUGAAGGAAGAAGGCUUUCGGGUUGUAAACUACUUUUGUCAGGGACGAAGCAAGUGACGGUACCUGACGAAUAAGCCACGGCUAACUACGUGCCAGCAGCCGCGGUAAUACGUAGGUGGCAAGCGUUAUCCGGAUUUACUGGGUGGAAAGGGCGUGUAGGCGGGACUGCAAGUCAGAUGUGAAAACCACGGGCUCAACCUGUGGCCUGCAUUUGAAACUGGAGGUCUUGAGUACUGGAGAGGCAGACGGAAUUCCUGGUGUAGCGGUGAAAUGCGUAGAUAUUAGGAGGAACACCAGUGGCGAAGGCGGUCUGCUGGACGGCAACUGACGCUGAGGCGCGAAAGCGUGGGGAGCAAACAGGAUUAGAUACCCCAGUAGUC
rnacentral:rRNA from 1 species